rnacentral:rRNA from 1 species
UGGCGGCGUGCCUAACACAUGCAAGUCGAACGAGAAAGUGGAGCAAUCCAUGAGUAAAGUGGCGACCGGGUGAGUAACACGUGACUAACCUACCUCCGAGUGGGGAAUAACUCCGGGAAACCGGGGCUAAUACCGCAUAACAUCGCAAGAUCAAAGCAGCAAUGCGCUUGGAGAGGGGGUCGCGGCUGAUUAGCUCGUUGGCGGGGUAACGGCCCACCAAGGCGAAGAUCGGUAUCCGGCCUGAGAGGGCGCACGGACACACUGGAACUGAAACACGGUCCAGACUCCUACGGGAGGCAGCAGUGGGGAAUUUUGCGCAAUGGGGGAAACCCUGACGCAGCAACGCCGCGUGGAGGAUGAAGCCCUUUGGGGCGUAAACUCCUUUCGACUCGGACGAUAAUGACGGUACGAGUGGAAGAAGCACCGGCUAACCCUGUGCCAGCAGCCGCGGUAAUACAGAGGGUGCGAGCGUUGUUCGGAAUUAUUGGGCGUAAAGGGCGCGUANGCGGUGCGGUAAGUCACCUGUGAGAUCUCCUGGCUUAACUGGGAGUCUGCAGGCGAAACUACCGUGCUG